CAAUGUAUUUAUACAGAAUGUUGUUUGGAUAAAAUAGAAAAGGAGCUUAGGGAGUUUCCAUUUUGUGAUUUGCUUAAAAAACAAAAAAGCUAAAGCCUCAGCCCUAGUCUCUAUUGAAAAGGGAAAAAAAAAAAAAAAUCAGAAGAGAGGAACUUGUUGCAAACUGGAGUGAAUGCUGGCUUCCCUCCGGCCCACUCAAGCCCGUCACCAUGGAGACUCCUGAAGGUUCCAGGAAUGACUCACGCGAUUCGCUGGCGAAGCCUUUGAAAUGGAAGCAGCACCCGAGCACAAAGACAAAGUUAGACUGCAGCCCUUGAAGAAUGAGCCUUUGACUCCUGACUGAAGGCCCUGGAUGUGGAAUCCGGGCUGUGGCCGGGCCCCCAGAAUGGCCUUUCCUCCUUCCAGGUCCUCGUUAUUAGGGACACUUGCUCCGGAGAGCAAAGGGCUUGCCUGAGGCAUCGCGGCUGGCUCUGGGGACAGCCAUGUCAGGCUGGGCUGUCCACUGGAUGGAUGGACGCAGCCACGCCCGCCAGCCGCAGUGGAAAAGCCUAAGGAUGGAGAGAAGCUUCUGGGGCUGAGCCUUGUCUCAGACUGAACAAAAGCACCGAGCCUGAGACUCGAAGGGAACAUGCCAGGUUUGCCUCCACAACACUUUCCUACGACCAGAAUUCGAGUCCAAAAUGCAGGGAAACGACCCCCUUCCUUCCCUGGAAGCUGUGUCUUCCUUCCUCCUCAACCCUAAAUCUACAUGCUGGUGACUGCAGACCUGCUUAGGCAGGAAAACAAAUAAGAAAUAAAGGUCUGAGCAGAAGCCG